rnacentral:rRNA from 1 species
CCUACGGGGGGCUGCAGUAGGGAAUAUUGCGCAAUGGAGGAAACUCUGACGCAGCGACGCCGCGUGGGCGAUGAAGGCUUUCGGGUCGUAAAGCCCUGUCGGAAGAGAAGAAAAAUCCUGUGGCUAAUAUCCACAGGACUUGACGGUACCUUCAGAGGAAGCACCGGCUAACUACGUGCCAGCAGCCGCGGUAAUACGUAGGGUGCAAGCGUUGUUCGGAAUCAUUGGGCGGAAAGUCUAAGUAGGGGGUGAAAGCCCCGGGCUCAACCUGGGAAGUGCAUCCGAAACUAGUUGACUAGAAGACAGUAGAGGAAGGUGGAAUUCCAAGUGUAGAGGUGAAAUUCGUAGAUAUUUGGAGGAAUACCGGCGGCGAAGGCGGCCUUCUGGGCUGUUCUUGACACUGAGACGCGAAAGCGUGGGUAGCAAACAGGAUUAGAUACCCGGGUAGUC